CUACUGAUGAUACCUCCCCAUGGAGAGGGUGAGCAGCAGCAGCACAUCCUGGGCAAAGCCAAGUACUCCUGACAGAACCAAGAACUCUGCAAAGCCAGAUGCCCAGACUGGGACCAGAGCCACCCCAGUGGACUGGAGACAGAAGGCAGAGACAGCAGUAAUUUCAUUCUCUGUACAACAGAGAGGCAGAGUGAUUUCUGGACAUCCCAGCCACUCUGUCCUUGUGAACUCCUCACUCAGCCUCUCUGUGGCUGCAGCCAAAAGAAAAGAGCAGUAAUCUCUUCUAUCCCCAAAGCCUGUGAUCCUGACCCAGCCCUGCUGCAGGCCUGAUGGACACGCAUGGGCAGCAAAGGUUUCACCAUCCAGGCUGCUGCUGGAGCAGGAAGGGCUGGCAGAGGCAGAUCGGGACUCAACAGGCUUUAUUUCCAAGGCUGUGCUGGUGAAGGAGCUCUUGAGCAAACAGCUCUCUGGGAGUCAGCAACAAGAAAAACACCAGCUUGCAGAGUGCAUAACUGGCUUUGUCAGUUGGGGGUUAAACUAGAAAAGCACCUGUCAGCUGUGAUUUCUGUUAGGAGAUUGUUCAACUGCUAAGACAUCUCAGUCUGCACAGAACUUAAUCAAAUCUGCUCAUUCUCCCCUAGAGUCAAGUGCAUAAAAGUGAUUGUCACUGCAAGGGCAAUGAACAUGCUGAUGGAAAGGUCUGUGCUUUAACAUUCCUGCUGCUGAAGCCACAGAUCAGUCACAGAGAUGAAAUACAAGGGAACACAUCGCUUCAUGCACAUGAAGCAACAGAGACUGACGUGAAAAAUGUGAUUCCUGUCAGCAUGCCAAGACGUGUGGGGCAUAUUCUGCCUUCCCAUUCCCUCCCCCUGACUCCCUAAAAUGUUCAAUGCAAAGAAAAUAGCAUCAAGUUAAGUGACUUGAAAUAUUUUUGUAUUUGUAUCAUCUAGUAAACAAAGUUGCUGAAAAAUGUCAUUGUGUGAUCUUCACAUGUGUGUGGGAGACCAGCUCAGCUGUCAGGGAAUGACUGUACAGCUCCCUGCUGGAAAGAAGAAGUCAAACAUUUCACAAGCAGACUUUUAUAGCCUGGUGGGAUCUCUGCUAAACGCUUGGGAUAGCCAGGCUGUCAGUGGCUUCCAGGAGGAUAUCUGCUGAUUCAUCCUGGCAGUACCCACUCCCAAGUGAGCUGUCCCAGAUGCCAAUCAGCAGAAAGGCUCCCAGCCACAGCUCUGACACCAGCUCAGCAAAUUCUGCCUUCAAGCCCUCGGGUGAGCCAGUGGGACAGAGGUCAUCACCAAACCCCAGUCACCCUCUGAGGUGCAGAAACAACCCAGUACCCAGAGCCUUCUGGAAGGGCUGG